rnacentral:rRNA from 1 species
UACGAAGGGGGCUAGCGUUGCUCGGAAUCACUGGGCGUAAAGGGUGCGUAGGCGGGUCUUUAAGUCAGGGGUGAAAUCCUGGAGCUCAACUCCAGAACUGCCUUUGAUACUGAAGAUCUUGAGUUCGGGAGAGGUGAGUGGAACUGCGAGUGUAGAGGUGAAAUUCGUAGAUAUUCGCAAGAACACCAGUGGCGAAAGCGGCUUCCUGGACCAGUACCGACGUUCAGGCACGAAAGCGUGGGGAGCAAACAGG